rnacentral:rRNA from 1 species
GCUAAACCAUGCACCGAAGCUGCGGCAGCGACACUAUGUGUUGUUGGGUAGGGGAGCGUUCUGUAAGCCUGCGAAGGUGACCUGUGAGGGUUGCUGGAGGUAUCAGAAGUGCGAAUGCUGACAUAAGUAACGAUAAAGCGGGUGAAAAGCCCGCUCGCCGGAAGACCAAGGGUUCCUGUCCAACGUUAAUCGGGGCAGGGUGAGUCGACCCCUAAGGCGAGGCCGAAAGGCGUAGUCGAUGGGAAACAGGUUAAUAUUCCUGUACUUGGUGUUACUGCGAAGGGGGGACGGAGAAGGCUAUGUUAGCCGGGCGACGGUUGUCCCGGUUUAAGCAUGUAGGCUGGUUGUCCAGGCAAAUCCGGAUAAUCAAGGCUGAGGUGUGAUGACGAGG